rnacentral:tRNA from 1 species
GGACCCGUGGUCUAACCUGGAUUAGGACAAGAGGCUUCGGACCUCUUAAUGGGGGUUCAAACGCUCUCGCUGACGCUCGGUGUAUUCAGCAGAGCUGAAUAUCCCCUCGGGUCCA